CUUAUCAUGGCCCUGUCCAGUUAAAUGGUGGAAAGUUCAGGAGCUGUGAGUUCUGAUACAGCAAUGCAUCAACCUACAUGAAUAGGUUGGUAUAUUGGGGUGGCCUGUUCUGUCCUCUGUAUUUCAGACCAAGGCAAGACAAUGUUUAAAGCUUACCAUGGAUCUACAAACAGUGUCAACUUGAAUUUGACUGUGGCUGUGGAAGACUGGUUCCUUGAUGAUGUCUGCAAUGAUCUCUGAUUCCAUCCCGUCAUGCCAAGAUUGAGAUUGGUGAGGAUUCCUUCAGUCAAGAGUUACAUGUUGAACAGAUGCAGGUGGACUGCCAAGAAAAGAGACCGAACAUAAGUCCCCUACAAGACAAAAUGAAAAGGACUGAAAAAGAAAGUUUUUAUGAAACAAGGUCUGAAAGUCACUGCAGCCAUUUUGCUCCCCCCCUACCUCUUCAAAGAAGAUCCAAGUGGGCUGUACGUCACAGACAGGUGAGGGGAAUACCUUUACGGAUGAGAGCCACAUUCAACUCUUCCUGGAUGUGGAGGAGCUACUCACUGAAGAGCUGGAGGACAUCUCCAUGGGAUUGGGAGUGGCAAUGGGGGGUCCAUUUCCUUUUUAAUAUUGAACUUCGCAGUGGGCUUUGAACUGGGCACCUGCCUCAUGCCUGGGAGGAAGCCCGGUUUCAAAACGAAUCCAAUCAACUUUCACCCGGUGCAAAACACGCAUACUGUCACGAUUUCCACCGAAGGUGGCUCCUCUCCCUGUUCGGGCGGUGCUCGGCGAUCCAUUUUUUCUUUUCUUUUCGUUUGUGUCUGUCUGUUUUUUCUUUACACCUGUGUCCUAUUAGUUCAUUUUGGUGGGUUUAUUAACCUGCGCUGCCUGCUAUUCUGUGUGCGGGAUUAUUUGCUGUUGUUGUUAUGUUAGGGGUGCGUGUUUGCGCCACGGGAUUUUAUUUUAGGAGUAGAGGUUUCUCCUCCGUGUGUUGCAUUUAUUCCCUGUGUGUGGCGACUUCGUUUGGGCGUGUUCUUCCACCUGUUGUUGUUGAGUUGGGACUUCUAAUAAACGAUUGUACUACUGGG